GACACGAUGCUGCCUCCCAUGGCCCUCCCCAGCAUGUCCUGGAUGCUGCUUUCCUGCCUGAUGUUCCUGGCUCGGGUCCCAGGUGAAGACUCCCAGAAGGAUGCGCCCGCUCCACGGAUCAGCUGUCCCAAGGCUCCAAGGCUUAUGCCUCCCACUGCUAUGCCUUGUUUAUGACACCAAAAUCCUGGAUGGAUGCAGAUAUGGCCUGCCAGAAGAGGUCCUCGGGACACCUUGUGUCUGUGCUCAGUGGGUCUGAAGCAUCCUUUGUGGCCUCCCUAGUCAAGAACAGUGUGAACACCUACUCAAAUAUCUGGAUCGGGCUCCAUGACCCCACAGAGGGCUAUGAGCCCAAUGCAGGUGGAUGGGAGUGGAGUAGCAAUGAUGUGCUGAAUUACUUUGCCUGGGAGAGAGACCCCCCCACUCUCACAAACCCUGGCUAUUGUGGGAGUCUGUCAAGUAGCACAGGAUAUCUGAAAUGGAAAGAUUACAACUGUGGUACGAGGCUACCCUAUGUCUGCAAGUUCAAGGACGAGGUCUGGGGAGACGUGAGGAACCUGAGUUUUGCAUGCAACUCAUCAUGGACAUGGGACCAAGUGUAAAGAAUACCCCCGAAAGAAACAUUCUCCUAUACCUCUAAACUUGACCACCUCAUUAUGACCUUCCCUUCUUCUCAGCCUCAUUUCAAACUCGUCUGUGUCUUCCAUAAUUUAAGUUUCAAAUGGCAAAAUAAAAAAUAAAUAAUUUUAGUCU